UAGGUCUGCGGAGACAUUACUGAUUUGCUUAUUGCACCACAUGUGUUUUUUAUUGAACAAAUUUCUUUGGUGGCGGGAGCAAUCCUACCGCCAGAGGUUAUAACUAAACCAAACUUUUUAUUUACAGUCAAACUUGAUUUAUUAUUACAAUAGUCAAAACUUUCAACAACGGAUCUCUUGGUUCUCGCAUCGAUGAAGAACGCAGCGAAAUGCGAUACGUAAUAUGAAUUGCAGAUAUUCGUGAAUCAUCGAAUCUUUGAACGCACAUUGCGCCCUUUGGUAUUCCAAAGGGCAUGCCUGUUUGAGCGUCAUUUCUCCCUCAAACCCCCGGGUUUGGUGUUGAGCAAUACGCUAGGUUUGUUUGAAAGAAUUUAACGUGGAAACUUAUUUUAAGCGACUUAGGUUUAUCCAAAACGCUUUAUUUUGUAAUUGCCACCACAAUUUAUUUCAUAACUUUGACCUCCAAUCCAGGAAGACUACCCGCUGAACUUAAGCAUAUCAAUAAGCGGAAGAAAA
rnacentral:rRNA from 1 species